UGAACCGAUGAUGACGAGUCAGCGUUAUAAGUCACUGACGAUGACUACUAAUUUUCUGUCUGAGGUUCAC